CUCUCUGUCCUUUCUCCUCCUCCUCCUCCUUCUGAUCUCACCCUUCUUUUUCUCCCUCCCCUUCUCUCUCCUAUCUCCUCCUCCUCUCUGUCCUAUCUAUCUAUCUUUCUUCGGGGGUUGCCUACAUUCUUCUUCCCCUCCAAGUUUUUCUGUUGAGGGACCUCCUGACAAACAUACAGAUUGGUGACAAACAUGCAGGAGGUCCCUCUUAGCAUUUUUUUACUAACCAGUGUGUGAGUUUCUCUCCCCAGAUACCUCCUGCCUUACCUAAGAGGGCUGCUGGACUUGCUGCCAGCCAACCUCCAGAACUGGUGCUUCAACGACAUCAAGCAGAUUCAGACAGGAUGGACCAGAGAUGACGGGAGGCAGAUCCAGGACUAGUGCAUGACUCGAGAGACCGUGCAAUUAACACAAGAGCCAUCUCUCCAAGACCCCCGAUCUUAUGAAAGAUCAGAUCAAGAAAGCAGACAAGGAACAGCCCAUGAAGUGAAUCCAGAUUAUGGCAGAGGGGACGAUUAUUACAGUGACGCAAAAGGUUUCUCUGGAUCUGGAGCUGCAUGUUUCUGAUCUGCUGUUAUCGGCCUCAGUGACCUCCAAAGUCUUCAUGUUCUCUCCUUCCUCUCUACCCUCAACCCAGCCAGAAGUUUUUUUUAAACUUCCCAACAUCUUUUUUUCCUCCACACGGGUACCGCAUGCUUGAUCUGAUCAUACAGCAAAAAGAGAGAUCCUCAAAUAAAAAACAAAAGAACACAAUAGAACUGUAUCUGUUUGUUUAAAAGUGUAACAUAAUGCACCCUUCCUUUUAUAUUUAUUUUUGGAGAGCAUGUGUUAUGGUUCUCAAACUAAAUCAGUUUUAAAAAUGUGCUUUCAAACCACUGGUUUCUCACAAACACCUGGACUCCAUCUUAAAACUGCACAGCAUUUGAACAUACUGCUGGUUGUGAGUUUACUUGGAGUAAAUACACUAAAGUUAACCGUUUGUAUCUGAAAUUCAGUCAUAAUGUGCACCAACUAGUGUCUGUUGUGGUUGACAAUAAAGUGGCUAUUCUGUUCUAUUCUGAUUGAUCCCUGCUCAUGCUGCAUCCUUGUCCUAGAUGACAGGACGCAUUCAGUCCCUGGAUGUGUUCCAGGCAGAAAAGUGAGUUUUUGUUACAAUAGGAGGAGCAGUUUAAGUGCUUCGGUCCUGUAGAUUGUUUCAGAAUGAAAACUGCAGAUUUGAAAUCCUCAGUGUGUGUGUGGUCAGUCAUUAGAGAUGCUCCCAUCCUGAGCUGUGCAACAUAACCAACUGUUAUGCAUUGUUGCCUGUUUUGGUUCUCCCUUGUGUCGUAUGCUGUUCACUACAGUUCAACACUUUCAUUUAGCAGACGCUUUUAUCCAAAGCGCCGCAUCUGAAGUAGAUACAGCACACAGUGAUGCCUCUGAACACAUCAUCAGUGAUGCUUCCUGGACUGUUUCGGCUCUUUCAACAUCACACUCCGUCACCCAGGACACCCAGGCAGAGUAGAUCAGACCCGGGUUGUGUCCAGGUGUCGCAGCGCCCCCAACAGGUACCUAUUACAUAACACAUUGACUUAAUGUCUGUCAAAGUACAGAUACUAAUGUGCCUCAAAUCUGACACGUGUCAGGUUCCUGUCUGAAACAAUAAUGCUCAGUUUGCACUGAAUGUAAUUCUGGGAUUUUGCAGAAACAUUCUUACACCUCCUUCAGUCCUGUUUUCUGCCCACAGCUGCUGGUUAUCAGACUAUUUCCUCUGACUUUAAUAAACACCUGCAGCAUCACACGUAGCAGCAAAAAC